rnacentral:lncRNA from 1 species
GGUGCAUUUUCAAGUUUUAUUUGGGCUUUAUUUCUUCUUAGAUGCUUGAGGUGUUCUUGCAGAUACAAUUAACAUAGGACGUUAGGUUCUGUUAGGUUCUCAUGCACUGAAAGACAAUUUCUAAUAACACUGCGUAUGUUGGGAUACAAUAAAAAUUUCAAAAGCCAUGUGUAAUUUCAGAAAACUUAAUACCAGUCAUGAAAGACAUUUUCAACAUAAAAUUUAGGCACUCUAUACUUGGGAAUAGCCACAAAAUAUUCCAACAAGAGUUAAUGCACUUUGUGAUUACCUCUACUAAAAGAUAAUUCUCUGCUAACACCUGAAAAAGAAGGCCCUAACCAACUUGAAAAGUAUUCUUGUAUUUUCUGCUGUAGUUACUUUCUUAGCAUGCACACUGCAGCACAUGUG